UAGGGAAUCUUCCACAAUGGACGCAAGUCUGAUGGAGCAACGCCGCGUGAGUGAGGAAGGGUUUCGGCUCGUAAAGCUCUGUUGUUAAAGAAGAACGUGGGUAAGAGUAACUGUUUACCCAGUGACGGUAUUUAACCAGAAAGCCACGGCUAACUACGUGCCUG
rnacentral:rRNA from 1 species